rnacentral:rRNA from 1 species
GACGAACGCUGGCGGCGUGCUUAACACAUGCAAGUCGAACGAAGAGCGAUGGAAGCUUGCUUCUAUCAAUCUUACUGGCGGACGGGUGAGUAACGCGUAAUCAACCUGCCCCUCAGAGGGGGACUCCAGUUGGAAACGACUGCUAAUACUGCAUACGAUCUCAUCUCGGCAUCGAGGAUAGAUGAAAGGUGGCCUCUACUUGUAAGCCAUCACUGCAGGAGGGGAGUGCGGCGGUUGAGUACGUAGGAGGGGUCACGGCGCGUGACGGCGAGGGUCAGGAGCCGGUCGGAGAGGAUGAGCGGCCGCACUGAGACUGAGACAGGGCCCAGACGGAUACGGGACGCAGCAGGAGGGAAUCGUGCGCAAGAGACGAGAGUCUGACGGAGAAACGCCGCGGGCGCAAUGACGGCCGUCGGGUUGUAGAGCUCUGUUAAUCGGGACUAAAGGCCUUCUGGCUAAUAGGGAGAAGGAUUGACGGUACCGGAAUAGAAAGCCACGGCUAACUACGUG